rnacentral:rRNA from 1 species
AGCGAACGUUUGCGGCGGGCCUAACACAUGCAAGUCGAACGCACUAGCAAUAGUGAGUGGCGCACGGGUGCGUAACACGUGGGUAAUCAACCCUUCAGCCUGGGAUAACGACUCGAAAGGGUCGCUAAUACCGGAUACGGCGCGAGAGGCUUCGGCUUCUCACGAGAAAGCCACGCAAGGGGCACUGAAGGACGAGCCUGCGGCCCAUCAGCUAGUUGGUGAGGUAAGAGCUCACCAAGGCUAAGACGGGUAGCUGGUCUGAGAGGAUGAUCAGCCACACUGGAACUGAGACACGGUCCAGACUCCUACGGGAGGCAGCAGUGGGGAAUAUUGCGCAAUGGGCGAAAGCCUGACGCAGCCACGCCGCGUGAGCGAUGAAGGCCUCGGUCGUAAGACUCUGUGGGAGAGACGAAGAAAGACCUGUGAAGAGCAGGCCUUGACGGUAGUCUCCUUAGUCAAGCACCGGCUAA